CGGGGAGCACCACAACAGGUGGAGCCUGCGGUUAAUCGGACUCAACGCCGGGAAACUCACCAGAUAAGACAGCUGAAUGAUAGUCGGGCUGAAGACUCUACUUGACUAGCUGAGAGGAGGUGCAUGGCCGUCGUCAGUUCGUACUGUGAAGCAUCCUGUUAAGUCAGACAACGAGCGAGACCCACGCCAACAGUUGCCAGCUCGUCCUCCGGGAUGGUGGGGACACUGUUGGGACCGCCUCUGCUAAAGAGGAGGAAGGAAUGGGCAACGGUAGGUCAGCAUGCCCCGAAUUAUCUGGGCUACACGCGGGCUACAAUGGGUGGGACAAUGGGUAUCGACACCGAAAGGUGAAGGCAAUCUCCUAAACCCAUCCGUAGUUCGGAUUGUGGGCUGCAACUCGCCCACAUGAAGCUGGAAUCUGUAGUAAUCGUGUCUCAAAAUGGCACGGUGAAUAUGUCCCUGCUCCUU
rnacentral:rRNA from 1 species